UUACGAUGUAUUCGUCGUUUAAAAACGACCAGUAACUCCCAAAAUAAAAAAGAUGGUUGAACGGGUCGUGGACGUGGUUCUGUAUGUUGUUUUUUACUAAUUUACUUUACUAGUUCACUACUUCACUACCUUACUAGUUCACUACUUUACUACCUUACUAGUUCACAUUGACAUGGACCUAAAACUUGUUAAAGUAGAGGAAGGUAAGGGAGAGGCCGUAGAGGAAGGUAUAGUAGAGGAUGUACAGGAAGGUAAAGUAAAAGACGUAAAAGUAGGUAAAGUAGGUGUAGAAGACGUCCACCUCACUUCAACUCCAGACCCUCUAGGUAAAAGAGGACUUCUAUACUUAUAUAUUAAACCAGCUUUUCCCUGCUGUACGACUCCACAUGUUGUAAGUCAAAGAGAAAGCUACCAACGACAUUCACACUCAUGUCCUCACAACAUACACACUGCUGUACGGGUCGACCCAGACGUCGAACCUCUGGUCGCCCAAGAGCGGGGGCCGCGUCAUCGGGGGGCGGCGCUUCCGGCUGCCGCCGCCGAAACGUCUACCCCUCCGUAGCAGUUUCACUUGUAGCUGAUGAGGUACAAGUCUAAACGAGGGACAAGAGACAAGAUGUGUUCAACGGGCUUGUAGACUCAGACCUUCAAACGUCGACUUCGCUACUUGAAUACCAGUCGUGAACAGUUUACCUCGGAGUCUCCGUUUUGUUCCUGUUGUUGUAAGUCAUAUAGUGAUACUAAAAGCAACCACCAGAAGACUAACUAAACCUUCCUUCUUAACAACCAUACUUAAAGUAUCUGCUCUUAUUUUUAGGGAAAAACGGGCAGGUCUAACAACCCUCUACGGACUUUGUGAAGUCUUUCAAACCCUGUGAAGAAAGGACAUAUACCCUGCUAACGAACUUCCUAAACCACAACCACAGUAUAGGAUGUGCAAAACUGUCCACUUGUCUACCUGUCACCGACGAGGAACGACUAGUUAAGUUUUAACGAGACCGAUAGUUAAGUUCGAACGACACUGACCACUCUUCUGCAGGACCAGUUAGUGGUGUAGACUAGUUAAAGACAGACACCGCUCUUGUUCACCAUGUUGAGGCCGCUAGUUAAAGAAACCGCUAAUUGUUAAAACUAGUUAAGUUUGUCGUUGUGUCCGUCGCGAUCACGACGACAACCAGUCACGCCCCUCCUCGUGCCCGCCUCCAGUUAACCGGCCUAGGCCUCGAGGUCACGGACUUAGCUCCUCGACCUUCCGACUCCGUCCUCCUCCUCGUGUCCGACGCGACGACGACGACAACCAGUCACGCCCCUCCUCGUGCCUGCCUCCAGUUAACCGGCCUAGGCCUCGAGGUCACGGACUUAGCUCCUCGACCUUCCGAGUCCGUACUCCUCCUCGUGCCCGCCGCGACGACGACCAGCCACGCCCCUCCUCGUGCCCGCCGCGCUUCCGGUCCUCAGCGCCCGCCGACCUCCGACACCGCCUGCCGCUCCCUCGACGCAUGCUCAAACCCGAGAACUAACUUCACCUCCUUCCGCCGGCUGCUCCCUCGACGCUGGCCGCGCCUGCCUGCGGCCUCGACGUCGUCACCCUACCUCGGACCGCCUCCCCUCCUCGCUACCUCAUUCUGCUUCUAGGGGCCGCUAUUUUUAAAGUUUAACUCCCAUCAAACCAUGAAAUAGGACAAAAGUGGACCAGCCUCUUCAAAGGGUUGCUGUUGAUAAAGCCUUGUCUCCCUCAUAUAGCCUCUCUCUAAAAUAAGAAGGGUACGGUGCAUGCAUGACGACGAGUCCUAGAGGUCGGUUAUGCAUCAUGCCGUAUGCAUAUACGUACCCGUCUCAUGCAUGCAGAACACAACUGAUCGAUCCAUUAUGAUGUAGGGUGAUACGUACCUUUUCACCCUGGUUGCAUGGUAACGGUAACAAACCGACAAAGUAGUACUGGCUG
rnacentral:rRNA from 1 species